GUAUAAGAUGCCCCUCGAUUUUCAGUCUAAUGAUUUUAGAAAAAAAUAGCGUCUUAUACAUGGAAAAAUAUGGUACUUCAAGUGAAAAGAUGAGAAAAGAUUCAAAGAAGAAUUUGCCCAAGGUGGAAUAACUCACCAGAAGCUAACUCGAAAGGCUAAUUCAGGUAAUGGUCUGAUGAAGCAAAAAAGGAAGAUUUUCAAAAUA